AUGAGUGCCUUUCUACUUCAUGCGGGUACAAUUCAGGAAAUUGAUAAGCGGUGUCGUGCUUUCUUCUGGGCCGGUGACGAUCACGUCAAUGGAGGUCAAUGUAAGGUUGCCUGGGACGAAGUAUGUGCCCCCAUCAGCAAAGGUGGGCUCUGUUUUCGUUGCUUGCGCAACCACAACACCUGCCUUCUCCUAAAAUCUUUGAACAAGCUCCAUUCUCUUGGCACUGGCUCCUGGGAAUCUUGGAUGGCAACCUCUUACGGUUGGGCAGGAGGCCACCACAUCGGAGAUUCAAGUAGGCUAGACACCCCAAUCUAGAAACACAUCACGUCUGGCCUCUCGUUUUUCCGCUCCAUUACCCAUGUCACGGUCGGCAAUGGGAUCGCCACCGCCUUCUGGCUUGAUCUUUGGCUCGGAAAUGAUACUCUCCACACACGCUUCCAAAGCCUCUUCUCUCAUGCUACGCGAACCAACGUCUCAGUCGCCUUUGUGCUCGCGGACCCGGACCUCCGUUUACCAUUACAGCCGCGCCUCUCCACCGCUGCUGCCAAUGAACUGACGAACCUGCGAGUCCUUUUAGCUUCUGUGAUCUUAACGCCGCAUGCCCCAGAUGCUCGAUUGUGCAGGAUGAACGACAAACCCUACUACUCGGACUCCUGCCCUUUUUGUUCGGCUACUGAAACUACAGCUCACAUGCUUCUUCAUUGCGUUGUUGCCUUAGAAGCGUGGACAACGGCAGACUCCCUGCUCAUCAGGCCGGCAGACUGCCCCUCGGUCAGCGAUACUAUGUGUCCUCUGCCUUCUUGCAAGGUUCGGAACACGGUUGUUCUGGCUAUGCUUUGAAAUCUCUGGAAAAGAAGGAAUGCAAAGGUUUUCAACAAUGAAGUGCAAACCCUUGAAUUUGUAUUCCGCCGAGCGGCCGAUGACAUCUUUCUGUGAGUGAACCGCUGCCACAACGAGGACCGUAAACAGCUCCUACUUGACUGGGACAUUAUGUUGGCCAGAAUCGAUGUAUCUUGA
rnacentral:rRNA from 1 species